GUGUGAAUCAAUUAACUUAGCGGGCUAUGCAUGGGCUUCCUUUUAGUCACAAUUUGUUUGCUACUGAGCUAGGGCAACUUCUGCAUUCUGGGCACAGCAGCUCGACAGCUGAACGGUAUCUUGUCUUUGCAGGGUCGUGGCAGACUUGGUGUUCAGUAUGGCAGUGCUAGGUACACCUCUGUGAAGGAGCAGGAGUGUCCUUACAGACAGAAAGGUCUUCAACUCUGUGCGUCUGGAGAGGGAGCACCUGAACCCUAUCUAACUCCACAUCAGCCAGAAGGACUAGAAAACAAGUAAACCUGGUCUCAAUGUCAGCCCAUGGCUAAAGGUGUGGCCCCACCGUUCUGAAUUUGGGUGAUUCUGGGGGGCGUCUUGGCAACGC